rnacentral:sRNA from 1 species
ACAAGGAGAGGAAGUGGGAAAGGUUUCAUUAUAAGCUCCUUGAAAGCAGAAUCUGUGUAUCCCCUACCGUAUCCCCUGCAGGAUCUCAUACAGAGACUGG